rnacentral:precursor_RNA from 1 species
AUCACACCCUCAGCUUCUUUCUUAUUCACUCCUCCACACUAUCUAUCUUCUUUGGCCUUGAUCGAUUUUUGUCUUCAUGAUCAUGAGGGUUUAGCAAAGUGUUGCUAACAGAGUUUAUUGGCAUUCUGUCCACCU